rnacentral:rRNA from 1 species
CGUAGGGAGCAAGCGUUGUUCGGAUUUACUGGGCGUAAAGGGCGCGUAGGCGGCAAUUCAAGUCACUUGUGAAAUCUCCGGGCUUAACUCGGAACGGUCAAGUGAUACUGCUUUGCUAGAGUGCGAAGGGGCAAUCGGAAUUCUCGGUGUAGCGGUGAAAUGCGUAGAUAUCGAGAGGAACACCUGAGGUGAAGACGGGUUGCUGGGCCGACACUGACGCUGACAGCGCGAAAGCCAGGGGAGCAAACGGGAUUAGAUACCCCGGUAGUCCUGGCCCUAAACGAUGAAUACUUGGUGUCUGGAGUUAUUAGUGCUCCGGGUGCCGUCGCUAACGUUUUUAGUAUUCCGCCUGGGGAGUACGCUCGCAAGAGUG